AAGUCCGGCAGUGAUUUCACGUCGAAUUGCAAACUCGAAGAAGCCGUAUUUUUUGGCCCGGACU
rnacentral:tRNA from 1 species